rnacentral:rRNA from 1 species
AGAACGAACGCUGGCGGCAUGCCUAACACAUGCAAGUCGCACGAGAAAGGGUAGCAAUACCUGAGUAAAGUGGCGCACGGGUGAGUAACACGUGAAUUAUCUACCUCCGAGUGGGGAAUAACUGAGAGAAAUCUUAGCUAAUACCGCAUAACACUUACGAGUCAAAGCAGCAAUGCGCUUGGAGAGGAGUUCGCGGCCGAUUAGUUAGUUGGCGGGGUAAUGGCCCACCAAGACGAUGAUCGGUA